rnacentral:lncRNA from 1 species
GAAAAGCGCGGGGCUCACUCACUCGUAGCUGGGCGCGAAGGUGAGGAUGGUUGCGGCCAUGCCCUUGGACAUCUGCCAUUGUGCGGCGCGGCAUGUCAUGUCGGGGCCCAUCUGGGCCCCGGGCGGCGCUCGGGUCGGGCCCCUUGCUCUUCGCUAGCCUCAGGCGACUCCGCAACGGGCCGGCAGUAUCGCGGCCGGUCGCGUGCCAUCAACAUUCGUCCAUCCUCCAUACAUGCGGGCUCCGACUCCUGGCGCGUCUUAUCAGUGCCAGUGCGAAGUGCGCGGCCGGUGACUUCGACGCGGGGGUAGAAAAGUGGUGCCCGGCAUGCUGUUGUGUGCUGCCCAGCUAAGAAAGGGAACGGGGUGAAAAUAUGGUAGAGUAUGUAUUCUGCCACUAGCAAUUAACCGAUCAAUGAAUUUGACUUUUCUUUUGAGUCGGAGCUCUUUUUCGUGACUGUUCGACGACCGCAAAAGCAUUGAGUGCGCGCAUCGAAAAAUUACGUGCUGAUUAUUGUUGAAGUGCGCGGAACCUUCUUUGGCGUUAUUGUUUCGCGGCAUCAAUUCAAAAAUGAUGUCAAUAUGCGCCAUAAACGGAUAGAUAUCAAUGUAAGUAUGCAUGCAUAAACUUAUUUGUACCCGGAAUUUUGCUCCUUUUUUUUCAUUGUUUUGAACUGUUUGCAUCAUUCGCAAAUUUUUCU